AUUGAACGCUUGCGGCAGGCUUAACACAUGCAAGUCGAACGAUGAAACUCUAGCUUGCUAGAGAAGAUUAGUGGCGGACGGGUGAGUAACAUUUAGGAAUCUGCCUAGUAGUGGGGGAUAGCUCGGGGAAACUCGAAUUAAUACCGCAUACGACCUACGGGUGAAAGGGGGCGCAAGCUCUUGCUAUUAGAUGAGCCUAAAUCAGAUUAGCUAGUUGGUGGGGUAAAGGCCCACCAAGGCGACGAUCUGUAACUGGUCUGAGAGGAUGAUCAGUCACACCGGAACUGAGACACGGUCCGGACUCCUACGGGAGGCAGCAGUGGGGAAUAUUGGACAAUGGGGGCAACCCUGAUCCAGCCAUGCUGCGUGUGUGAAGAAGGCCUUUUGGUUGUAAAGCACUUUAAGCAGGGAGGAGAGGCUAAUGGUUAAUACCCAUUAGAUUAGACGUUACCUGCAGAAUAAGCACCGGCUAACUCUGUGCCAGCAGCCGCGGUAAUACAGAGGGUGCGAGCGUUAAUCGGAAUUACUGGGCGUAAAGCGAGUGUAGGUGGCUCAUUAAGUCACAUGUGAAAUCCCCGGGCUUAACCUGGGAACUGCAUGUGAUACUGGUUGUGCUAGAAUAUGUGAGAGGGAAGUAGAAUUCCAGGUGUAGCGGUGAAAUGCGUAGAGAUCUGGAGGAAUACCGAUGGCGAAGGCAGCUUCCUGGCAUAAUAUUGACACUGAGAUUCGAAAGCGUGGGUAGCAAACAGGAUUAGAUACCCUGGUAGUCCACGCCGUAAACGAUGUCUACUAGCCGUUGGGGUCCUUGAGACUUUAGUGGCGCAGUUAACGCGAUAAGUAGACCGCCUGGGGAGUACGGCCGCAAGGUUAAAACUCAAAUGAAUUGACGGGGGCCCGCACAAGCGGUGGAGCAUGUGGUUUAAUUCGAUGCAACGCGAAGAACCUUACCUGGUCUUGACAUAGUGAGAAUCCUGCAGAGAUGCGGGAGUGCCUUCGGGAAUUCACACACAGGUGCUGCAUGGCUGUCGUCAGCUCGUGUCGUGAGAUGUUGGGUUAAGUCCCGCAACGAGCGCAACCCUUUUCCUUAUUUGCCAGCGGGUUAAGCCGGGAACUUUAAGGAUACUGCCAGUGACAAACUGGGGGAAGGCGGGGACGACGUCAAGUCAUCAUGGCCCUUACGACCAGGGCUACACACGCGCUACAAUGGUAGGUACAGAGGGUUGCUACACAGCGAUGUGAUGCUAAUCUCAAAAAGCCUAUCGUAGUCCGGAUUGGAGUCUGCAACUCGACUCCAUGAAGUCGGAAUCGCUAGUAAUCGCAGAUCAGAAUGCUGCGGUGAAUACGUUCCCGGGCCU
rnacentral:rRNA from 1 species